rnacentral:rRNA from 1 species
CCUACGGGGGACUGCAGUAGGGAAUCUUCCACAAUGGGCGAAAGCCUGAUGGAGCAACGCCGCGUGGGUGAAGAAGGUCUUCGGAUCGUAAAAUGCUGUUGUUAGAGAAGAAAGUGCGUGAGAGUAACUGUUCACGUUUCGACGAUAUCUAACCAGAAAGCCACGGCUAACGACGUGCCAGCAGCCGCGGUAAUACGUAGGUGGCAAGCGUUAUCCGGAUUUAUUGGGCGUAAAGGGAACGCAGGCGGUCUUUUAAGACUGAUGUGAAAGCCGUCGGCUUAACCGGAGUAGUGCAUGGGAAACUGGGAGACUUGAGAGCAGAAGAGGAGAGUGGAACUUCAUGUGUAGGGGUGAAAUGCGUAGAUAUAUGGAAGAACACCAGUGGCGAAGGCGGGUCUCUGGGAUGUAACUGACGCUGAGGUUCGAAAGCGUGGGUAGCAAACAGGAUUAGAUACCCUGGUAGUC